rnacentral:rRNA from 1 species
UUCCGGUUGAUCCCGCCGGACCUGACUGCUAUCGGAUUGAUACUAAGCCAUGCGAGUCUUUGUAGUAAUACAAGGCAGACGGCUCAGUAACGCGUAGUCAACCUACCCUAUGGACGGGAAUAACCUCGGGAAACUGAGUAUAAUGCCCGAUAGAACAUUAUGCCUGGAAUGGGUUUAUGUUCCAAAUGAUUUAUCGCCGUAGGAUGGGACUGCGGCCUAUCAGUUUGUUGGUGAGGUAAUGGCCCACCAAGACUAUUACAGGUACGGGCUCUGAGAGGAGUAGCCCGGAGAUGGGUACUGAGACACGGACCCAGGCUCUAUGGGGCGCAGCAGGCGAGAAAACUUUGCAAUGUGCGAAAGCACGGCAAGGUUAAUCCGAGUGGUUUCUGCUAAAGAAACCUUUUGUUAGUCCUAAAAACACUAACGAAUAAGGGGUGGGCAAGUUCUGGUGUCAGCCGCCGCGGUAAAACCAGCACCUCAAGUGGUCAGGAUGAUUAUUGGGCCUAAAGCAUCCGUAGCCUGCUCUGUAAGUUUUCGGUUAAAUCUGUAUGCUCAACAUACAGGCUGCCGGGAAUACUGCAGAGCUAGGGAGUGGGAGAGGUAGACGGUACUCGGGAGGAAGUGGUAAAAU